rnacentral:rRNA from 1 species
ACACAUGCAAGUCGAGCGAGGUCCAUCCAGUGGUAACACUGGUGAAGACCUAGCGGCGAACGGGUGAGUAACACGUGAGAAACCUGCCCCGAAGACUGGGAUAACUCUCCGAAAGGAGAGCUAAUACCAGAUGCCCUCACCGGGCCGCAUGACUUGGUGAGGAAAUGGAUUCCGCUUCGGGAGGGUCUCGCGGCCUAUCAGCUUGUUGGUGAGGUAACGGCUCACCAAGGCUUCGACGGGUAGCUGGUCUGAGAGGAUGAUCAGCCACACUGGGACUGAGACACGGCCCAGACUCCUACGGGAGGCAGCAGUGGGGAAUCUUGCGCAAUGGGCGAAAGCCUGACGCAGCAACGCCGCGUGGGGGAUGAAGGCUCUCGGGUUGUAAACCCCUUUCAGCAGGGAAGAUUAUGACGGUACCUGCAGAAGAAGCCCCGGCCAACUACGUGCCAGCAGCCGCGGUAAUACGUAGGGGGCAAGCGUUGUCCGGAUUUAUUGGGCGUAAAGAGCUUGUAGGCGGCUUGGUAAGUCGAGUGUGAAAACUCCAGGCUCAACCUGGAGACGCCAUUCGAUACUGCCAUGGCUAGAGUCCGGUAGAGGAGCACGGAAUUCCUGGUGUAGCGGUGAAAUGCGCAGAUAUCAGGAGGAACACCAGCAGCGAAGGCGGUGCUCUGGGCCGGUACUGACGCUGAGAAGCGAAAGCGUGGGGAGCGAACAGGAUUAGAUACCCUGGUAGUCCACGCCGUAAACGUUGGGCACUAGGUGUGGGUCCCUAUCGACGGGAUCUGUGCCGUAGCUAACGCAUUAAGUGCCCCGCCU